UACAGAGGGUGCGAGCGUUGUCCGGAAUUAUUGGGCGUAAAGGGCGCGUAGGCGGCGCGGUAUGUCACCUGUGAAAUCUCCUGGCUCAACUGGGAGCUUGCAGGCGAAACUGCCGUGCUGGAGUGUGGGAGAGGUGCGUGGAAUUCCUGGUGUAGCGGUGAAAUGCGUAGAUAUCAGGAGGAACACCUGUGGCGAAAGCGGCGCACUGGACCACAACUGACGCUGAGGCGCGAAAGCUAGGGGAGCAAACAGG
rnacentral:rRNA from 1 species